CCCCCGCCCCGCGCGGGACCCUGCGCGCCGGGGCAGGGCGCCCCCCGGCGGCGCGGCCCUGCGCGCGCGCCCCCCGGGGCUGCCAUCCCAUAAUAGGCGGGUCCUCCUCCCGCGGGGAGCGCGCGGUGGAAGGGGGGGGGGAGGGCGCACUGUGAAGACCCCCCCCCAGAACAUCCCAUAAUAGUCACACCCCGGGCGCGCACAUCCCAUAAUAGUCACUCACACCACACCACACCCCCCGCGCCCAGGCAGGCAUCCCAUAAUAGUCGCCGGGAGCCACCGUCCAGCCCGGCAUCCCAUAAUACUCGCGGCCGCCCGCCCCGCACCCGCGGGGCUGCGCCGCCGCCCCCCGGCCCUGCCCGCCCCGCCUGGGGUCCCGGGGAGCGGGGCCCGCCGUGGCACCGCGCGCUGGCACCAGCCCCGGGCACAGGCUCUGGGCACCGCCCUCCCUCCCCCCCAGCCCCGGUCUCUGGCCCCGCUCGCUCCUCUGCCCCGGCCCACCGUGCCCGUCCCGCACGUUCUGCCCGCGGGGCCGCAGGACCCCUCUAGAGCUGUUCGUGCCCGGCGUGGGCACUGCCACUGCCAGCCUGUGUGUGGGGAGCCCGCGGUGACUUCAGUGCCCCUCCUGCAACACAAGGCCUCCUCCUCUCCUGGCUGCUGCACCUGUGCAAAACUGGUAUCACCUGAAGUAUCCCUGAAUGUCAUGCUGUUCUGCAAAGGCUCCAGCAGCCCUGUAGGCUCUCUGGAUGGUAUUGACUCUGAACUCGGGUUUUACUGCUUCUGUCGAAGAAUCCUGAAGAUCCCAGGAUUUCUGAGAAGUCUUGCCCUUCUGGUUUUUUCCCUUUGGUAACACAGAAAAUGUUGCCCUAGACAAUUUUUGAGAGGGGAGGAGUAUCAAACUCUGAGAUAAGUAACUUUUAAAUUAGUAAGAAACUGGUCCAAACUUUCACUCGAUAUCUGAUUAUUGUCCCAGUCUGUGUCUCUUCAACACCCAUGCCACCCUCCCCCAUUUUAAAUUAUCUUGUGAGAAUUUGGCUAGUGUGAGAAACCCCAGCACCAGCAACUGUCCUGAAUUCUGCAUGUCUUCCCCAACACUACAAAGCUCUUUCCUCUGCCCAGGAUACUCUUCUCCACUCCACAAAGUCUUCAUGGCAAGCUAAGGAAAUCUAAAUGAUUCAUUUUCAUUGUUCCUUUCUUCAAUGGUCUCCCCUUCUAUUUUAUUUUUUUUUUUAAAUUAUUUAGUAUUUUUCUUUCUUCCACAGAGAAGCAGCUUAUUUAGCACAAUGGAAGUAUCAUUACCUUGGUGUCAGACAUGGAAGAAAAUGACACAAGAAGAGACAAGAGCCCCUCCUGUCAGGUGCAAGGAACUGCUCCUGCAGCAAACAAACACCACUGGAACAAGAGGCAGAGAGAGACUCGCACACAGAGAAUUUGGGAGCAUACAAUCAGAAUAGGAUCAAGAAUCACUGAAGAGACCAUGUGUGCUUCUUUUUUGAGAACAACAUUCUACUGUCAAUGGAGGAUCGAGUCUCUAGGCAGCCACCUAGGUGAGGGCUGCCCAUAUGCCAGCGUGACUCUGCAUCUACUUCCCGUUAGAGGAACAGCAGUUCAGACUUCGCUCGGCACUCGUCAUGAGCCUCGUCUCCUGUUUUGCCAGGGGAAGGAGGGGGCAGGGUGAGUGUCGUGGCCGUGCAGCCAGAGCCGCACCGCGUCAGCCAGACGUGAACGGUGCAGGAGGCAGAGCUAGCAGCAGAGAACUGAGGCAGGCGGGGAGGCUGGGGGGUGAGAUAGAGAAGAUUGGGGGUUGCUCAGCCCCCUGGAAAUCAGAACGGCUGAUCUCUAUCUCUGUGUGCUUCGCUGGUUUGCUUGCUUUAAAAAACAUCACAUACUUGGUACUGACACCUAUAGCUAAGGUUACUCGAUAUUUUCCAUCACAAGUCUGUUUUCAGUUACUCAGAACUUUGCCAGUCAUCAGAUAUUCAGAUUUGAAUUUUCCAUGUUUAUUUUCACUUUUUUUCCCCCUGAAGAUGGAGGCACUUAGUAAGAUGUAAAAAACAAAGGUUAUUUUGAAAUUAUAAAAUUUUGACUUUGACACAUUAC